CCUGGGCCGCAGCCCAGCUCCAGCAGGAAGGACUUGGGUCUCCAUGCUGGGCGUCCCAGCCUCUCCUCCUCUUUGCCCUCCCAGCCCAUACCUGGGCAGCGGAGGAGGGGCAAGGGCACAGGGUGGCCCCUCUGAACCAGGCUCCCUGAGGCCACCUGGACACUGUGGCAACAUGGGCAAGAACUGGCUUCCAUGGCAACUGGCGUCCAGGGAGGCGCUGCCUGGCAACAGGGCCAUGGCCCCCCCAGCACGCCGUACUGGCCACACUUUCCGCCCUUGAGGCCGAGAGUUCCGGCUUCCAGCCAGUGCCCCCGCCACAGCCGCAGCCGCGCCCUGUCCUGCACGACAUCCCGUAGCCUGGACCUGAGGCGAACCCCUAUGCCCACCCCAAUCCGGGACACCGCUUGGCAGGGCACUCGGCCUUUGUUAGCGUAUCUGACCCUGGGCCACCCGUCUCCAUGAAGACCUUUCCCUCCUCAGCAUCCUGGCCCCUGAGGGGCACCUAGCAGGCUGGGGACAUACGGAGCAGGUGCAGCCCCCACCCCACUCAGGGACACAGAGAGCAGGGGGCAGCCCCCGCCCCACUUACUCAGGGACCCAGAGAGCAGGGGGCAGUCCCCGCCCCACUCACUCAGGGACACAGAGAGCAGGGGGCAACCCCCCGCCCACUCACUCAGGGACACAGAGAGCAGGGGGCAGCCCCCCGCCCACUCACUCAGGGACACAGAGAGCAGGGGGCAGUCCCCGCCCCUGCUGCACAGGACCUCCUCCAUCCCACCCCAGGGCCACCUCGCCUCAGGGCUCCUCCAAGCGGCCUUCCUUAGCCCCCAUCCCAAGUUGCCCCAUGGGGUUUCUCAGCUCAGCACCUCCUGAGACCCAUGACAUUCCAGCAAAGAAUGAAAAGGGCACAGGCUAGGGGAGGGUCCUAGAAGCUGCCACCACCCUCUGGCAGCUAAACAGACAGCCUCUGGCAGCCAGGACCAGGUGUCCAGCCGCCUCUGCUGGGGAGGCCCCACGUGGCACCGAGAACAGGAGAGAGGUCAUCUGCAGACAAGAUAUUUCGAGACACUUGAGGUGGAGAGUGGAGGCUGACGUAGCAGGACAGCCUGGCAGGAAGAAGGCAAGCGGCAGCCAAGCAGUGGCCUCGUCACUGGUGUGAGGAGACAUGUGCUGCGAACAAGCAUGGCAGGACAGCAGUGGGAGCUGGUACUGUCCCCACUCCAGACGGCAGCCCUGCAGCCCGAGAUGCCGCCUGGAGGCAGGAGGCCUCCCUCCCAAGACCUGGGUGUCCGGCUUCCUCAAGUUAAAAAGGAGAGAGGAGUGCCUGGCAGCUCUGCCUGCCUCCCCUAUAAACAGGGAUCGAAAAGAAGGAAAAGGCAGAUAUUUGAGCACUGAGUCUCAUAGGAAGUUCCAAGACUAAACAAAACAGAACCACAAGAGAGAAAAUGCAGAAAGAAAAGAUUUGCCUUCCCCCAAACCCACUUUAUCCCUAAGAGCAGAACAGAAUUCUCUGGAACUAGAAGAGGGGAGCUUGGGGAACGAUGGAGAUGUCUUGGAAAUGAAAAACAGGACUGCUAAAAUCCAAAACCAA